AGUAACCUGCCUUGGAGGUGGGGAAGUAAACACAGUGAAAAUUAGUUGCUAAUACCGCAUAAUGCAUUUGGAUCGCAUGGUUCUGAAUGCCAAAGAUUUAUCGCUCUGAGAUGGACUCGCGUCUGAUUAGCUAGUUGGCGGGGCAACGGCCCACCAAGGCGACGAUCAGUAGCCGGACUGAGAGGUUGGCCGGCCACAUUGGGACUGAGACACGGCCCAG
rnacentral:rRNA from 1 species